rnacentral:lncRNA from 1 species
UUAAUAUUAGAACUAUUCAAAUAUAUAUAUAUAUAUAAUUAGACUGGAAUACUAUUAAUAGUAAAACGCUCUUUUUGCUAUCAAGUUUUUAACUCUUGGAUGAAAAAUUAUAGGGUCAAAAUGAUAUUAGUCGGUUAGAGUUGAGUGGUCCCCCUAGGGUUGAGUGGUUCCCACUGGGUUAUAGUAUUUAAUCCAAUGGUUAAAAAUAAUGAAAAGAGUUGAUCUAAAGGCUAAAAAACUGGUAGCAAUAAUGGGAUUUUGUUACUAAUAGUAACCCAGUCCAACUCUCUCUCUCUCUCUCUCUCUCUCUCUCUCUAUAUAUAUAUAUAUAUAUAUAUGAGUUCGGCUGGGAUACUAUGGAUAGCACGGAAGUCACUGUGGUACCAAGUUAUUUUCGAUGAUGCGGCUUCUAAAUCGACGAUCGACUCCGUUAGACUUGAUCUACACUAUUGAAAGUAUUUGAAAACUAAAUUUCAUAAUUUUUCGACAUCAUUUACCGAUCAAACGAGUAGUCUAAAAAUAAACGGCUGAGAAUAAAAAUUUCAUAAAAAGUGAUGAUAAAAGAUUUGAAUUUAAGAUCAGAAGUACUGAUCUUACUCUAAGUAGUGAAAAUAAUUUUCUAUAAAAAUUCCAUCAAAUUUGGAUUGUUUUACACCGUUAAAUUCACAAACGCAUCAAAUCUACCAUUAAAAUUGUCAAUUUUGAGACAUUUUGAUCACUAGCCAAAUGAUGUCGAAAAAUUAUGAAAUUUAGUUUCCAAAUACUUUCAAUAAUGUAGAUCAAGUCUAAUGGAGCCGAUCGUCGAUUUGGAAGUCACAUCAUUGAAAACAACUUGGUAGCACGGAUGCCUCCGUGCUACCGAGAGUAUACCAGCCUAACUCUCUCUCUCUCUCUCUCUCUCUCUCUCUCUCUCUCUCUCUCUCUCUCUCUCUAUAUAUAUAUAUAUAUAUAUAUAUAUAUAUAUAUAUAGAGUCCGGCUGCUAUGCUAUCGAUAGCAUGCACCAAGCACUUGGUGCUAUCAAGUUUUCUGUCGUUAGAUUAAUUUAUUUGAUUAUUUUUAUCCGUUAGAUUAUACUAUUCAACCAACCAUCCACUCAGCCCUAGCCACAUCAUCCUAAUCAUAUAUUUCUCAAUCCUCUUUCCAUUUUCACAUGGGAACCAAUUAACUCCUUUCA